GCUGCUCGCUGCGGUGGCCUCCGGUGCCCGACUGUUUGAUUUCCACUGGGAAUUUGGGGGCCAAGGGAGGGGGUUGUAGGUCGAAUUCGUAUGUUAGUAUUUCCACUGGGGGCCUGGUUUCUCUCGAAAGCUGGGCAGGAAAGGGUUCGCAUGGCUCUGUGCUUGCAAAUUCGUGACUGCCUCCUGCGGAGUAGCCGAGUCUCCUGAGUUCCCAAUUAAACUAUUUGGGCAGGAGAUUUGAAGAUGGAGAUCUUAAUUUCAGCGGCUUAUACACAGAGGAGGGGAAAAGGAUAAGACACAAACCUUGGGGAAAAUCCACAUCUGGAUGAAGAUGAACCCGCAGGAGAGAGAAGACAAGCAGAGAAGUAGGAGCAUGGCUUGCCAAGCGGUGCCGUGUCUGCACCCGGGAUCCGAACCGGCGAACCCCAGGCCGCUGAAGCAGAACAUGUGAACUUAACUGCUGCGCCACCGGGCCGGCCUCAAAAAAUGUUUUUGAAUCUGGUUCUUCCUUUAUGUGUAUUUUUUCCCUUGAUAAUAAGUUUAUUGAAUUUAUCCAGUGACACUCUAAUUGCCAAGUCCUACAGUCUUUUCAAAGUUCCUUGGCAUAUAUGAUCUAUGUAGUCUUAGGCAUUCAUUUACCUCUAAACUCAGAGUGAAGAGCUCAGUGGAGAAGUUGAAGUUGGAUAUCAAAGUAAGUGUCAAACCAGGCAUUAUGAUAAAAAGCUUAAAAUAUCCAAUGAAUCCCUAUAACAGCCUAAAGGGAUUAUCAUUAUCUCCAUUAAAAAUUUUAUUCAUGUUUAAUUUAGGAACACUGCACAUAGAUAAAGAUGGAAAAUAUCAUCAGUUUUGACAUGUGUACACCCAUUGUCUUAGUCUCUUUGGGCUUCUGUAACAAAAUACCAUAGACUGGGUAUCUUAUUAACAACAGAAAUUUAACUUUCACAGUUCUGGAGGCUGGAGAGUCCAAGAACAAGGGACGACCCUCUUUUCGGUUUCAUAGCUGAUGCCUUCUAGCUAUGUAGUCACGUGGUUGAAGGGGCAAGGAGCUGUUUAGAGUCUCUUUCAUAAGAGCACUAAUCUCAUUCAUCAGGGUUCCACCCUCAUAAUUUAAGCACCUCCCAAAGGCCCCACCUCCUAAUACCAUCCUCUUUGGGGAUUAAGAUUUCAAAACACAAUUUUAGGGGGACACAUUACACCUCAGCACCCAUUAAACCGUCACCACAAUCGAGAUAACAAUCACAUCACCGCCAAAAGUUCUCUUGUGCCCUUUUGUAAUCCAUCUCUCCCUCCAACUCCAUCCCCAGGCAACCACUUUCUGUCAAUAUAGAUUAGUUUGCAUUUUCUUGAAUUUUAAAUAAAUGGAAUCAUACCGUAUGUUCUUUUUUGGGGGGCUUCUUUGACUCAGCAUAAUUUUGCGAUUCAUCCUUGUGGCUUGUAUCAGCGGGUUGUAUUUGUUUUUUUAAAAUUACUGAAUGGUAUUCCUUUGUAUGAAUUUACCACAAUUUGUUUAUCCAAUCAUCUGUUGAUAGGCAUCUGGAUUUGUAAUUUUGGGUUAUUCCAAAUAAAGCUGCUAUGAACAUUUGUGUACUA